AGUGAACGCUGGCGGUAGGCCUAACACAUGCAAGUCGAACGGCAGCACAGUAAGAGCUUGCUCUUACGGGUGGCGAGUGGCGGACGGGUGAGGAAUACAUCGGAAUCUACUUUUUCGUGGGGGAUAACGUAGGGAAACUUACGCUAAUACCGCAUACGACCUACGGGUGAAAGCAGGGGAUCUUCGGACCUUGCGCGAUUGAAUGAGCCGAUGUCGGAUUAGCUAGUUGGCGGGGUAAAGGCCCACCAAGGCGACGAUCCGUAGCUGGUCUGAGAGGAUGAUCAGCCACACUGAAACUGAGACACGGUCCAGACUCCUACGGGAGGCAGCAGUGGGGAAUAUUGGACAAUGGGCGCAAGCCUGAUCCAGCCAUACCGCGUGGGUGAAGAAGGCCUUCGGGUUGUAAAGCCCUUUUGUUGGGAAAGAAAAGCAGCAGGUUAAUACCCCGCUGUUCUGACGGUACCCAAAGAAUAAGCACCGGCUAACUUCGCG
rnacentral:rRNA from 1 species